CAGCAUCUGGUGCGGUGGCGAGGCGUGGGAGAUCCAGGUGCUGCCUGUGGGACAUUGCAUACACAAGGACUGUGUCCAUGCAGACUGGUGCUCACUGAGAAAGGGGAGAUGGUCUACAGGGGAGCCCUAACCAGGACACAAUGUCUCUUGUGAUGGAUUAAAAGGAUGGAAAGUGUACAUAAGAUACAUAUAUAACAAUACAUAUCUGCAUAAAUGUUGCCCUGUUACAACAAUAAGAACCUUGAAUGUAGGUGUUGGUCAUUCAGAAUUUAAAUAUUAAGAAGUAACGGUUGUUGCAUCAGCAUGAGCCCGGCGAGCCUGAGAGCCUCCAGAACCAGGCUUGGUCUCCAGUUCACCUGUCGGCACUGCCUUUAGAGCAGAGCUCUGAGGGGCUCCAGAGGCCAAGGGGAGAUGACCUGCCUAUGGAACCUUCUGAGCUCCACAGUGGCUGUCAGUGAGGAACACUGUCUACGUAGCUGUACUGUCCGGACCAGUGAGGAGACAGGAGAAAUCGUAAACACAAUCGUUUCCUCUCUGGACCCUCACACUGCUAAGGACCUCAUUGCUAAGUCUGGAUUGUGUGUAUAUGUAUGCAUGUAUGUAUGUACUCACGCACCUUCCCCUGGGGUGCCGAUCUGGGCGUCACCCCAGAACCCCCCAAACAGGAGGUAAGGGGGACCCUAGAGGUGCACUUAGUGAAGCAGGUGAAGCUAAAGUGACAUGGCUGGAAGAAGACGGGUUGGAGGCGGUUCAUAAAGGAUUUAGGAAUUGCCGGCUGCAGUACCAUCCUGGUGGCUGUGGGUGGCACCCACCUGAUGCAAUGGGGAGGAACACUUUCUUCAGUUCACGUCUUCCUGGCAGGCCAAGUGGGCUCUGGACCCAGGUGGACAGAGGCAUAAGGUGUCAGAUGUCUCGGUAGGGCGGCCCCAGCCAUUUCCUUUGCAGUUCGUCAACUUUAUCCUUUCCACACACAACUGGGAAAGCGCAGAGAUGAGGCUGUUGGCCAGGGAGGUCCGGAACCUGUCUUAGUUCUCGAUACAGUCUCAGGUGAGAAAUUCUAGGAAAACCACUCUGGUAACACAAUCUGUGUGCUUUAGCACAAAAGUCAGCAAUUUUGGAGAGGAAGGCAGGCUUCCCGGGAUAGGGAAGUAGCCCAUUCUUGUCCCCAUUUUAGUACCUGAGUGUUGUGCCAAUGGCUGCAACCGUCUGCAAGGCAGUGCCCGUGACAUACCAGUGGCCACUGCCCACACUCUGCCUGGGUUCUGGCUCUGAGUUGAAAGAGAGGUACCGAUGACAUUCAGAAAGUUCGUGGAAACCCUGUUUGCACUCAAACUUCUGGCUGGGACACAGGUCAGAAAAUGACUUCAUCCUUCUGGGUCCUUGUCCAAGGCUGAGCCCUGCCAGCUGCCACACUGUGCCUGGGUGCUGUUGCGCUGAAUACCAGCUGUGCUCUUUUUGUCUGUCCCGGCUGCUGGCCUCACUCAGGGACAGCAGCCCCAGGAGGAUCAUUUCUGUGACCGAACCAUCCUCAGGACCCUAUGCAGCAGAGGACACCCACUAUUUCCUCCUUGUUUGACGUGUUCUGCUUUGACAUCACCUCUGCCUGGAUUCUGGAAGGGGUGUCUGGUGUUUUGUUUUUGGAAGAACUUGCCAAGCAGGUAAAUGUGGCUCUGGGGAAGUGACCUGUCAACAUUAUCGGAUUUCAAGGAGCGGGAGUGCUCUGAGCUGGAAGACUUUAGUUUUCUGAAAUGACUGUGGGUCAGCUCUUGUUUAGUCACCUUUCACACGCAAACAAUUUCUCGAACACAAAUGAGUUAUAGCAAUCCUUGAAUUUCUACAGGCGGUAGAAAGGCUGGGAAUGCCUGCACAUGAGGUCAGAUGAUUUGUCCCUGCUCGGCUUGUGGAAGCUCUCAUACUGUAUGCUACCGGCACAAUAAAGGAACUCCAGAGUAUUUACACAUGUGGGAUAAAGGCCUCCAUGACAAACAGGUUCACUGCCCCCCCUAACAGUGUACACACUUGGGUCAUUAAUAUUCUUAACAAAUAUUCAGCACAGUUGGCCCAUGUUACACAAAGGCUCUGUACCUUUGAAUUCAACCAAUCACACAUUGAAUAUACAUACAUACAUACAUACAUACAUACAUACAUACAUACAUACACACAUGUGAGUCCUGUUUGUACUGAAGCAUGUUCACAAACACCUGUCAUUACUCCUUGACCAAUAUGGUCUAAUAACCAUUUACGUAGAGCUUACAUUGGGUUGCAAAUUUUAAGUUACAUAGAGAAGGUGUAAAGUGUAAGAGUCAGUGGGAUCCAUGUAAAUGUGAAGCCAUUUUGGAUGAGGGACUUGGGCAUCUCUGGGUUUUGGUGUGUUUGAGAGCCCUGGAAUCAACCAUAUAUAGUAUGUAUAGUUUUCACAGAGACUCUUACAUACUGAACUAAAGCUAUGCUCAUUUUUAGCUUCCAUCAUGGCCAUAUACAAGACCCCUCAUUGUCAUCGUCAUGAUUACUGCCAUUGAUAUUUUAUAACAAAGGAAAUCAACCAUUAUAGACUCAGGGGUUUUAGACUCCUCAUCAGGUUUGGGGUUAGAAAUCAGACAUUUUCCAACCUUAAUCUUAAAAUGAAGUAGCCAAGGACUGCACUGUUGUCAGCUCCUACCUUAAUUAAUUCCCUUGUCUUACGUCCUUUGGGUUUUUGUUGUUGUUAUUUUUGCCUUCUAGUUUCUUAAGAUGAGUUCUAACUUGUAUUUUAAAUUUUCUUUCCAUAUUAGAUACAGUGUUCAAAGCCAUUUCCUCUAAAUAUAACUUUUUGUGUAUGCUGUAGGUCUGC